GAUCCCUUUCCCGUAGCUGGGCUGUCUGGUCUAGCCUCAUUGAAAGAGGAUAGUCGUGCUGGGACUUGAGGUAGCAGAAUUCUUAUGAGGAGAUUUCUUACAUCUCGCCGUGGAGAGAUAAGAGUAAAGGAGAAACCACUGCUUGUUUUCCAUGCUCCCUGCCCUUGAACAUGGUGUGUGAGCACAGACUUCUGGGAAGGAAUUCGGGCAUCACAGAGACAGCCAUACAAGCACCUGACCUGGCGAGGGCUUGAAUAUGCACGGGCAAACAACAGCUUCCAGAUUUCUUGUUUUCUAUUUCGUGCUUGCUUUUUAAGCAGUAUUCAGCCAGGCAUUCAGGGCAGAAUGUCUUCUAACUGGAUAUCCAAUUAUCUGAGAUGCGUGGCAUGGAAGGACAGGAAGACUAAUUGGAAGGGAGGAGCUACCUUACUGCAAGAGAAGUGGCCAAGUGUGAAUCGAUGGUCUGUUUCACCAUUUAUUCAGUGAGUUGUGUGAGGAUGGAGUUUGAAGGGCUUGAGAGAUGGCUCAGUAGCUGAAGCCCACGCUGCUCUUGAAGAAGACCUGGGUUUGGUUCCCAGCAUCAACAUGGCAGCUCGUAACUGCCUAUGACUACAGCUCUGAGGAAACCCAAUACCCUCUCUGGCUUCCAGGGGCUCCUGCAAGCAUGUGGGACAUGUUAAUUAUAUAGGAACACACAUAUGCCUAAGUGAAAAUGAAUACAUAAAUCUUUAAUAAAUUUGUAUUUUCAAGAGCAUA